AUUGAACGCUGGCGGCAGGCCUAACACAUGCAAGUCGAGCGAGCGGCGGACGGGUGAGUAAUGUCUGGGAAACUGCCUGAUGGAGGGGGAUAACUACUGGAACCGGUAGCUAAUACCGCAUACCAUCAGAUGUGCCCAGAUGGGAUUAGUUAGUUGGUGGGGUAAUGGCUCACCUAGGCGACGAUCCCUAGGUGGUCUGAGAGGGUGACCAGCCACACUGGAACUGAGACACGGUCCAGACUCCUACGGGGGGCAGCAGUGGGGAAUAUUGCACAAUGGGCGCAAGCCUGAUGCAGCCAUGCCGCGUGUAUGAAGAAGGCCUUCGGGUUGUAAAGUACUUUCAGCGAGGAGGCGUUACCGACAGAAGAAGCACCGGCUAACUUCGUGCCAGCAGCCGCGGUAAUAC
rnacentral:rRNA from 1 species